GUUCGAUUCCGGAGAGGGAGCCUGAGAAACGGCUACCACAUCCAAGGAAGGCAGCAGGCGCGCAAAUUACCCACUCCCAGAACGGGGAGGUAGUGACGAAAAAUAACAAUACGGGACUCUUUUGAGACCCCGUAAUUGGAAUGAGUACACUCUAAAUCCUUUAACGAGGAUCCAUUGGAGGGCAAGUCUGGUGCCAGCAGCUGCGGUAAUUCCAGCUCCAAUAGCGUAUAUUAAAGUUGUUGCGGUUAAAAAGCUCGUAGUUGGAUCUCAGUUCCAGACGGGUGGUCCGCCUACCGGUGGUUACUGCCUGUUCUGAACAGCCAGCCGGUUUCUCUUGAUGAUCUUCACCGGUUGUCUWGGGUGACCGGCAAGUUUACUUUGAAAAAAUUAGAGUGCUCAAAGCAGGCGUGACGCCUGAAUAAUGGUGCAUGGAAUAAUGGAAUAGGACCUCGGUUCUAUUUUGUUGGUUUUCGGAACACGAGGUAAUGAUUAAGAGGGACAGACGGGGGCAUUCGUAUUGCGACGCUAGAGGUGAAAUUCUUGGACCGUCGCAAGACGAACUACUGCGAAAGCAUUUGCCAAGAAUGUUUCCAUUAAUCAAGAACGAAAGUUAGAGGUUCGAAGGCGAUCAGAUACCGCCCUAGUUCUAACCAUAAACGAUGCCAGCCAGCGAUCCGGCUGUGUUCCUCAAAUAACACGCCKGGCAGCUUCCGGGAAACCAAAGCUUUUGGGUUCCGGGGGAAGUAUGGUUGCAAAGCUGAAACUUAAAGGAAUUGACGGAAAGGCACUACAAGGAUUGGAGCCUGCGGCUUAAUUUGACUCAACGCUGGGCAACUUACCCGGUCCGGACACAGGAAGGAUUGACAGAUUAAGAGCUCUUUCUUGAUUCUGUGGGUGGUGGUGCAUGGCCGUUCUUAGUUGGUGGAGCGAUUUGUCUGGUUAAUUCCGAUAACGAACGAGACUCUAGCCUACUAAAUAGACGCUCCGAUCAUUUAUAGUCGGACGUUCUUCUUAGAGGGACAAGCGGAGUCUAUCCGCACGAGACAGAGCAAUAACAGGUCUGUGAUGCCCUUAGAUGUCCGGGGCCGCACGCGUGCUACAUUGAAAGAAUCAGCGUGUGCUUUCCUCGUCCAACAGGACUGGAUAACCAUUUGAACCUCUUUCGUGCUGGGGAUAGGAAAAUGCAAUUGUUUCCUUGAACGAGGAAUUCCUAGUAAGCACGAGUCAUCAGCUCGUGUUGAUUACGUCCCUGCCCUUUGUACACACCGCCCGUCGCUACUACCGAUUGAAUGAUUUAGUGAGGUCUUUGGAUUGGCGCCCGAUACGGCUUUCGAGUCGCGCCGGUGUGCCGAAAAGAUGACCGAACUUGAUCAUUUAGAGGAAGUAAAAGUCGUAACAAGGUUUCCGUAGG
rnacentral:rRNA from 1 species